GAAAAUCCCAUGGACGGAGGAGCCUGGUAGGCUGCAGUCCAUGGGGUCACUAAGAGUCAGACACAACUGAGCAACUUCACUUUCACUUUUCACUUUCAUGCAUUGGAGAAGGAAAUGGCAACCCACUCCAGUGUUCUUGCCAGGAGAAUCCCAGGGACGGCGGGGCCUGGUGGGCUGUCGUCUAUGGGGUCACACAGAGUCAGACACAACUGAAGUGACUCAGCAGCAGCAGCAGCAACAGAGCAAUAACCAGAUGAAGCGGCACACGGCCAAAGUGGGCUAUGGUGUUCCAGCUACAUGACCACCUGCCAGAAAUGCUGUAGAAGAAAUGCUACAAAUUGGGUACUAGAAGACUGCAAAGACG
ensembl:lncRNA